ensembl:scaRNA
GGCCUCUCCUGUGGGGCUAUGAGGGGUCCCUUUUCUCCUCAGCCAGGGCUGGAGGCCAAGAUCAGCUCUGAAGGAUCAUUGUUGGGGCUGCCAUGAGCUGGCAGCCUUGUUUUCCUGCCUCAGACAUCU